UACGUAGGUGGCAAGCGUUGUCCGGAUUUACUGGGCGUAAAGAGCGCGCAGGCGGUCGAUUUAGUCGCGUGUGAAAGCCCCCGGCUCAACUGGGGAGGGUCACGCGAUACUGAUCGACUCGAAGGCAGGAGAGGGUAGUGGAAUUCCCGGUGUAGUGGUGAAAUGCGUAGAUAUCGGGAGGAAUACCAGUGGCGAAGGCGGCCCUCUGGGCCAACACUGACGCUCAUGCACGAAAGCGUGGGGAGCAAACAGG
rnacentral:rRNA from 1 species